AGAGAGUUAAACAGUACGUGAAAUUGUUGAAAGGGAAGCGCUUGCAACCAGACUUGCUCGCGGGUGAUCAGCCUCCCGUGAGGGGGGUGCACUCGCCCGCGAUCAGGCCAGCAUCGGUUUUGGCGGGCGGAUAAAGUCCCCAGGAAUGUAGCUCCCCUCGGGGAGUGUUAUAGCCUGGGGCGUAAUGCGCCCAGCCGGGACCGAGGACCGCGCUUCGGCUAGGAUGCUGGCGUAAUGGUUGUAAGCGACCCGUCUUGAAACACGGACCAAGGAGUCUAACAUCUGUGCGAGUGUUUGGGUGUUAAACCCAUGCGCGGAAUGAAAGUGAACGGAGGUGGGAACCCUCUCGGGGGCGCACCAUCGACCGAUCCUGAUGUCUUCGGAUGGAUUUGAGUAGGAGCAUGGCUGUUGGGACCCGAAAGAUGGUGAACUAUGCCUGAAUAGGGUGAAGCCAGAGGAAACUCUGGUGGAGGCUCGCAGCGGUUCUGACGUGCAAAUCGAUCGUCAAAUUUGGGUAUAGGGGCGAAAGACUAAUCGAACCAUCUAGUAAACACACCUCUACUAGAGAUACCAGGGGCGGUCCAGGCUCCAGUAGUCCCCGUGUACGGGGGCAACACUGUUAGUCUCCGGGGAUGCCUACCGGGCUACCCGGACUGAGCCCAGGCUCAGUCACAGACUAAGUGACGGUGGCCGCGUGUCUCUGCGGUUAGGAUAUA
rnacentral:rRNA from 1 species